GUAACAAGGAACUGGAGAAAUAAGGUCAAACGGGAAGUUGCCUCUUCUAUCGAGGAGCCUGCUGUCUCGUGGGAGACGGGCAAAUAAACCAGGGACUACAGUGCAGCGUGAUAUGUGCCGUGAUUGUGGCGUGACAGGCCCUAUUGGUAUGGUGGAGGACCUUCCAAAUCAAAGCAGACCCCUCCUUCCUGCUACUGCUGCAGCCACAGCUGGUGUGUAUGAUGACCGUUCCAAGCUCCCUUGCUGGGCGCCAGCGUCCUAGCUGACUGAGAGCUUUGCCUACCAGGGUAAUUUCAGCCUUCACGUCUAGAAGUCUAAGCCUUUGGUCAUCUUCAGCGCCAACUGUGGGAAACUAAACAAAGGCAAAGCAGUGGAUUGGAGAACGACUCUGAGGGGGAAUGACUGGGAACCGACUAAUGCUUGUUCCAUAAAUGGUCUUUGUUUUAGGGAUAAUGAAACUGAAGCACAGAGUUUGUUAACUCUUAAGUGACAGGGUCAAGAUUUAAAGCCAUGCUGUCUGGCUCCAGAACAGCCCUUCUACACAGCUGUGUUACCUUGCCUCUGCACUGUUAGUGUGGGCGCUUGGCCUUCCACGCCUGGGGUUAAGUCCUGCUUUGGCUCUUCAACUUUAGCCUUGCAACCAAGAACAACUGAUUUAAUUUUUCUAAGUUUCAGUUUUUUCAUCUAUAAAAUGGACAUACCCUUUGUGCCUAGCAUGAUACCUAUCAUUUGGUAAGUCAAUGUAUUAAAUGGUGGCUGUUAUUAUUAAUUCAAUAAAAAUGUACUGAGCAUUCUGUGGUGGACACUGCAUGUGCAGGGGUGCACAAGAGGGACACAAUUCCUGUGCUCAUGGGUGUUCCAAUUAAAAGUAUCUGGUGGGGAGGGUACAGCUCAAGUGGUAGAGUGUGUGCUUAGCAGGCCCAAGGCCCUGGGUUCAAUCCCCAGCACCUCCUCCAAACAUAAAUAAAUGAAUAAGCCUAAUUACCUCCCCCUCAUAAAAAAAAAAGUAUCUGAACUAAGCCAUAAAAUGAAAAUGGCAAUGUGUGGUCCACACAAUUGCCUCCCUCGCCUUGAAUUAUGAACACACGUCUGACAUAUGGGAACAUGAUGAUGACUGUGAGCAGAAGAGGACUGAUGGGGAAAGAAAACGAGCCUGGAACAAUCAAGAGCAAAGGGAGCAAGACAAGGAGCAGGAGUGAAACGAGGAGCUCGCCCAGGAGGAGGCGUGCUGCCUGGCUUUCUAGCACAGAAGUCUGCGUUUAACAGGAGAGGCGGGGGGGAACUGACCAAGGGAUUCUUGGUAUAGAACAGAAAGUCAGAGCAGGUGAAACGAAGAAUGAUGUCUGAGAAACUUGUGGAGAUGGCGUGGGAGAUAGUCUCUAUACACUGUAGAAGAAGAUUAAAGAGAAGGAAGUGAGAAACAUUAAAAAAAAAAAACUAUUCUCCUGAUUUGGAGAGCAGCCAUACUUUGUAUUAUGAGCCAAGAGAGAAAACCAAAUGUAUCUCCCAGGGGGUGGGGGGAAUAAGCCUUUUUCAGGCUAAAUUCCCUCGCCUCCUGCCUUGUUUUCUUCACCAGAAACGAGCACUGGGAAAAGAACGGGCUUUAGAGAUUCUGCCCCAGGAGUUCACAGACCACUUGCUUGGUGACAACCAUGCGGCUCUUUUUUCAGUCGGGCUCACACACAAGAUUUAAUCUUGGUUUUUAAUAGCAUGUGUGUGUUUUUUUAACAUUUAUCAAAUGUAC